AUACGGAGGAUGCAAGCGUUAUCCGGAUUUAUUGGGUUUAAAGGGUGCGUAGGCGGGACUGUAAGUCAGGGGUGAAAUACUGCAGCUUAACUGUAGCAUUGCCUUUGAAACUGUGGUUCUUGAGUACAGUUGAGGUAGGCGGAAUGUGGUGUGUAGCGGUGAAAUGCAUAGAUAUACCACAGAACGCCGAUUGCGAAGGCAGCUUACUAAGCUGUUACUGACGCUGAGGCACGAAAGCGUGGGGAUCAAACAGGAUUAGAUACCCUGGUAGUCCACGCUGUAAACGAUGAUUACUGGUUGUUAGCGAUAUAUAGCUAGUGACUGAGCGAAAGCAUUAAGUAAUCCACCUGGGGAGUACGUCGGCAACGAUGAAACUCAAAUGAAUUGACGG
rnacentral:rRNA from 1 species